rnacentral:ncRNA from 2 species
CAACCUCGUGCGGGAGAGUCCCGGUGCCGACCAGGCCCCGGGCGCCGAAGGAGCAACUCCUCCCCGGAAUCUCUCAGGCCCCUGUACCGCGCGGGGAAG